AUUGAACGCUGGCGGCAGGCCUAACACAUGCAAGUCGAGCGGAUGAAGGGAGCUUGCUCCUGGAUUCAGCGGCGGACGGGUGAGUAAUGCCUAGGAAUCUGCCUGGUAGUGGGGGAUAACGUCCGGAAACGGGCGCUAAUACCGCAUACGUCCUGAGGGAGAAAGUGGGGGAUCUUCGGACCUCACGCUAUCAGAUGAGCCUAGGUCGGAUUAGCUAGUUGGUGGGGUAAAGGCCUACCAAGGCGACGAUCCGUAACUGGUCUGAGAGGAUGAUCAGUCACACUGGAACUGAGACACGGUCCAGACUCCUACGGGAGGCAGCAGUGGGGAAUAUUGGACAAAGGGCGAAAGCCUGAUCCAGCCAUGCCGCGUGUGUGAAGAAGGUCUUCGGAUUAUAAAGCACUUUAAGUUGGGAGGAAGGGCAGUAAGUUAAUACCUUGCUGUUUUGACGUUACCAACAGAAUAAGCACCAGCUAACUUCGUG
rnacentral:rRNA from 1 species